UAAACGACUCUCGACAACGGAUAUCUCGGCUCUCGCAUCGAUGAAGAACGUAGCGAAAUGCGAUACUUGGUGUGAAUUGCAGAAUCCCGUGAACCAUCGAGUCUUUGAACGCAAGUUGCGCCCGAAGCCGUCAGGCCGAGGGCACGUCUGCCUGGGCGUCACAC
rnacentral:rRNA from 1 species